rnacentral:tRNA from 1 species
GAGGAUUUNNCUUAAUUAAAGUGGUUGAUUUGCAUUCAAUCGAUGUAAGAUAUGAUCUUGCAGUCCUUA